rnacentral:rRNA from 1 species
AACGAACGCUGGCGGCGCGCCUAAUACAUGCAAGUCGAGCGAGAAGGUGUAGCAAUACACUUGUAAAGCGGCGAACGGGUGAGGAACACAUGGGUAACCUACCCUCGAGUGGGGAAUAACUAGCCGAAAGGUUAGCUAAUACCGCAUACGAUUCCAGGACUUCGGUCCUGGAAGGAAAGCACUACCGUGGGUAGUGCGCUCCUGGAUGGGCUCAUGUCCUAUCAGCUUGUU